rnacentral:rRNA from 1 species
UACGAAGGGUGCAAGCGUUACUCGGAAUUACUGGGCGUAAAGCGUGCGUAGGUGGUCUGCUAAGUCUGAUGUGAAAGCCCUGGGCUCAACCUGGGAAUUGCAUUGGAUACUGGCAGGCUAGAGUGCGGUAGAGGGUAGUGGAAUUCCCGGUGUAGCAGUGAAAUGCGUAGAGAUCGGGAGGAACACCAGUGGCGAAGGCGACUACCUGGACCAGCACUGACACUGAGGCACGAAAGCGUGGGGAGCAAACAGG